rnacentral:lncRNA from 1 species
UUCUGACCUCAGGUGACCUGCCUGCCUCGACCUCCCAGAGUGCUGGGAUUACAGGCGUGAGCCACCUCGCCGGGCCUAUUUAUUGUUUUUGAAUGUUGCAUUUCAAUACCUCACUGACCACAAGAAAUCUACAGCUUUUUCUCUCUGGAUUCCUUCAACCUCUCCCAAAUUGAGCGCCUGUCCUGGCCCAAUCGGGCAGGACUGAGGUGCCUGGUGGUCACCUCCUUAGAAGUCUGCUUCUAACUCCCCUCUGUGUGUGUGUGUGCGCAUGUUUUCCUUUCUCAUUGACAUUCCAGCCCUUGAAACAAGGUCUUGGCUCCUUUCUUAUUGCAGGAUUUCGUUUUGGGGGAGCUGGAACACCUGUCCACUGAUCGCCUGCCACUCCGCAUCUGGGCCUGGCUGACAGGCUUGUCUGCUUUGACUAAUGAUGUGAUUGAUGGACAAAAUAAGGAAGAACAUACAAAAAAACAUUUCUGUCUGGUCUGGUGUGUCAGCAAGCCUUCAUCAAGUGGCUGCUGAAGGUAUAUUUUGCUGCAUGGCUCAUUACACAGUAAUGGCAUUCCCAGGCAAAGCUGUUUCUUUUCAUGACACAAGACAGCAGGCAGCUUUAUGGGCGUUGGGCCCACCGAGCCCGGAGGAAGGAGAGGCGCACUAAAGAGCGGUCAUUUCCAAAAGUGCCUCAAGUUGCUUUUUUGUUGUCAUGAAUUUAAUAUGAAUCAACACAAUAUGAAAUGGGCAUGAGGGAUCUUAGUGACUAGUGAUUUUUUAAGACUGCUGUCUAAACAGCCAUCAAGGAAGAAAGGGGAGGGUGAAACCACAACAUUUUCUUUCUCCAAACCUGUUGCAAAAAGGAGUCAUCUGUCAAUUUUAUUGCAUUAAAAAAGUACACAGAAGCAUAUAGUCCAAACAAAUGUCUUCUUUCAGGCUAAACAUGUGGGAAAUGCCACAUAGCUGAUGCCAGAAUCAUCUCACUCAGCAAACUGAGUAUUCAUAACCCCCAUUCCAAUGGCCUGCUGCGGAUGGGGGUGACAUUCGUAAGAAUUACAAAUGCUACUCUGUUGCCUCUUUGUGCAUAUAAUAAUGAUCUGAACAUCAGUUCUGGCUGGAACAGGAGAGAAGCAAAGAACUGCUUCAUUCAGCUAACAAGAUACCUGUGGGUUAUAACCCAGUGCUGGAGGAUGAAAAGGAAUCACGAUUAAAAACAAGAAAUAGAGUAGGUAAAUUCUUGGCCUGAUUUUUUUUCUCCUCUUUCUUUAUUAGGGUACAGUUGAGAGCAGGAACGUUCGGUUUGGUCCCAGAGUUCCUACUUCAUUUUUGCAAAGUAUUUUAGCUGUCCUCGAUAUUAUUUCUUCUUUCUUUUUUUUUGUGGCAAAUUUUCUUUGCCAAGGUAUUUUAUUACACAUACUCCUCUCUUUUCUUUAACUUGCUGGACUGUCUCCAAAGAGAAAUGCUUAAAAUGAAGUUUCAUUUUACAAACACUUUUUAUUCUUUCUUGCUAGCCUGAUGAGUCUUUAGUGGUGGGUUAUUGUGAAUAAUAUGUGAUUUUAAUGAGUUGUGAUUAGACAAAACUCUCUUCCUAUAAUAAAUACUAGAUAAUAAAUUAGAAAAUAUAUAUGAGAUCUUUAUUCCUAUUUUAAAAGGGUGAAAGACAUAAAUGCAAAAGCUUGUUAUGAUAAAUAUAAAAGAUAAUCUUUUAACGUGCAUUUAAUUGACUGUGCUUCUAAGAGGCGGUGGUUUGACUUCUGUGCUGAUGUUAACAUUGCACAGCUCCAACCAAUGCAAACUGGCACUGGGAUGACAGCCACCUUUCCACCAGGGCCAUUAGUCGCCAGGCCUUCAGGGGGCAGGGAUUUUCAUGUAGGGCAGAGGCAUACAAAUUUAGAAAUGAACAUGUGAUCAAAUCCAAACAGUCAGAUGACUUCCUAUAUAUACAAUAAUGAGUA